GAUGAAGAACGCAGCGAAAUGCGAUAAGUAGUGUGAAUUGCAGAAUUCAGUGAAUCAUCGAAUCUUUGAACGCACAUUGCGCCCCUUGGUAUUCCAUGGGGCAUGCCUGUUCGAGCGUCAUUUGUACCUUCAAGCUUUGCUUGGUGUUGGGUGUUUGUCUCGCCUUUGCGUGUAGACUCGCCUUAAAAUAAUUGGCAGCCGGCGUAUUGAUUUCGGAGCGCAGUACAUCUCGCGCUUUGCACUCAUAACGACAGCGUCCAAAAGUACAUUUUACACUCUUGACCUCGGAUCAGGUAGGGAUACACGCUGAACUUAAGCAUAUCAAUAAGCGGAGGA
rnacentral:misc_RNA from 1 species